GAGAGGGAACACGGUCAAGACUGAGAUCGAUAGAAUUUUGUACUCUGAAGGAAUUACUGGAAAUAGAGAUAGCUGCACCUUUCCUACAAUGAGUGCUCUUUAUAACUUCUUCAACCAAGCUUUUGACUUUCUGCCCUAAUGCAUCCUAAUGUAGCUUCAUAUUAGAAACAGUUCCACAAGUAUUGAACAUGUACAUGAGGUCUGCGCUAUCCGCACCACCGAUGGAACUUGACAUUGGAUCCUGAAGGCUGGAGGUCAGAUCAUGACCUUUGAACAGUUAGCCCUGGCCUCUCCCAAGGGGUGGCAGAGGUUUGGAAGAUGCUGUUGAAGAAACCUUGGUGCUUUGCAUCUUGUAGAUGUCGCACACUACAACUGUAAUGCAUUCAUAUGAUCUUAAAGUGUCCUUUCUUUACAUAACUAAAGAUUGAUGGUCAUAAAUUCAGUCUUCCUAUUUAUCCCUCCCUGAACAAUGUUGCACAAGUUUCUCUAAGUUGCCUGAACAAGAAGCUAAGUCUCCUUUUGUGAGUUAGCUUUCACAAACAUAUUUUAGAAUGGGAACAAGACUCCCUGAGUAGCAAUAAAGACAGGAUACUUUUACUACUUUGAA